UUGAGAAAUCGGAUGGUUGCUGUGUCUGUGUA
rnacentral:piRNA from 1 species